rnacentral:rRNA from 1 species
CAGCUCUCCGAGUAAUGUGGACGUUUAUUGGGCCUAAAGCAUCCGUAGCUUGCUAGAUAAGUCCUCUGUUAAAUCCACCGAUUCAAUCGUUGGAUUGCGGGGGAUACUGUUUGGCUAGGGGACGGGAGAGGUCGACGGUAUUUCCGGGGUAGGGGUGAAAUCCUAUAAUCCCGGGAGGACCACCAGUGGCGAAGGCUGUCGACUAGAACGCGCCCGACGGUGAGGGAUGAAAGCUGGGGGAGCGAACCGGAUUAGAUACCCGAGUAGUCC